rnacentral:rRNA from 1 species
CGUUAUUUAUAGUGUCUUGAAGGGCCCGCGGUAUUUUGACCGUGCAAAGGUAGCAUAAUCAUUAGUUCUUUAAUUGUGAUCUGGAAUGAAUGGCUUGACGAGGCACGGGCUGUCUUAGUGUUGAAUGUUUUAUUGAAUUUGGUCUUUGAGUUAAAAUUCUUAAAUGUUUUUGUGGGACGAGAAGACCCUAUAGAGUUUGACAUUUGGUUUAUUUGUUGUUUGGUUGUUUGUUUGUUUUAUUGGUGAGUGGACUUUUUGUUUUGUUGGGGUGAUGAGAGGAAUAUGUUUAACUCCUCUUGGUUUUGGUUAUAUUGAUUUAUAGUUGUUUGAUCCAUUUAUUUUGAUUAUAAGACUAAAUUACCUUAGGGAUAACAGCGUUAUCUUCCUUGAGAGUUCUUAUCGGCAGGGAGGUUUGCGACCUCGAUGUUGGAUUAAGGUGAAUUUUUGGUGUAGGGGCUGAAAGUUGUAUUGGGUCUGUUCGACCUUUGAAAUCUUACAUGAUCUGAGUUCAAACCGGCGUGAGCCAGGUUGGUUUCUAUCUAUAAGUUUAGUUUUAUACCUUAGUACGAGAGGACCAGGUAU